GCCUUCGUGGUGUAGUGGUUAGUACGCUUGAAGCUUAUUCGAGAGGUCCGUGGUUCGAGUCCCGGCAAGGGCA
rfam:Stegodyphus mimosarum contig125666, whole genome shotgun sequence.